AAUGCUUAAAAGGGGUGAGUACAGAAAUGUAGGAGUCCACCACUACUAGAUGGCUAAACCACUUCGAUGGGAGAUCUCAAGUCCCACCUGACAGCACCAGACUGCACAAUAUGCUGCAGUGGAGAGCGGCCUGGAGAUGACCAGGAAGUGACCUGGAAGUGACCAUCUGCUGGAACCCCUAACUGGUGGCAGGGCUGAGCCUCAACCAGCAGACAAGAGAUCUCAGGGAAGAAAGCCUAAGACAGAACAUUACCUACUCUCUAAUAUUAUCCAACACUCAGAUGGACCCCCAGCUGAGAGUGGGAACAGACAGGGGCAACUUCCGUCCCUCGUUUCAUUUCGCCAGCAGAGAGGAAGAGCACCUAGCAGGGUCCCCAGCACCUAGCAAGGUGCCCAGCACAUCAAAUAAAGGUCUCCAGAGACUAGAGCUCCUUUCGUGACCUGUGCCCUGGACCAGUGAUGCAGCUUCCCCAGCCCCAUUUCUCCAUCGAUAAGAAGCACUGGGGGCAUCAUCCCUUCCCUUCUCUACUGAGAGAUGAAGACAAAGGAAAGCAGACAUGGAAGUGUUUCAAAUUCAAAAAGAAAAGGCGCUAAUCAAAGUUUUGUAAUAUUCCAUUUGUACCUGCAGUGUACCAUGCUUCCUCUCCAAGUCUCAAUUUCUUCAGCUGGGAAAUGGGUCUAGAGGCAAGCUGCACUAAAGACAGGAACUGUGGCCGCUUCCCCUCCCUACUGUAUCCCCAUCUACACUGCUCUUUACUCUCGGGUGAAUUCUCUGAUGUUGGUUGGUGAAGACCCUGAGGGAAGUUUCUCCACAUUCUUCGGAUUCAUGGUUCUGUCUAAUGUACACGCCGAUAUUGGGUAUCGUCUUGAGCGGAGAGUUCCCCACAGUCACCUUCUCUGUAACAGAGCUCUGUGACACUGAGUCACAUGUGCCUUCCAAGCCUCCAGACUCACCUGAGGGUUCUCCCACAGACGUCAGAUACAGGUUUCCCUCCGGCAGGAAUUCUCUGACGUUGUGUAAGGUGGUUGCAUAAAGAUGGUGUAUAAAGGAAGGCUUAUUCACAUUUAUUACACUUACGAAUGUUUUUUCCUGUUUGAAUUCUCUGAUGUGUAAUGAGAAGUAAAUGGCUAAUGGAGGUCUCAAUAAAGUCCUAUUACGUCUCCAGCCCUGGGCUGAGGGGCUCCAAGAUAUAAAGAAUGGCCUCUGCCCUUUAGACACUCGCCAACUGACUUGGGGGACAAGAUUCACGUACAUGAAACAGCUGGGGAACACAAGACAUUGUGUAGUCGUGCCAAGCUGUAGAAUUUAGCAGAAUUCAAUGGGAAUUCAAAGAAAGAAGCAGACAACUGGAGACUGACCAGAUGGGAAACAUGCAUGGAAGAGGUGAGCCUGUAGCUCGACCUGAA